CCCAACAAUUGGCCCAGCAGGAGAGAAGUCGGCAGGCUCCAUCACGAGAGCAGUCGCCGGCCUCCCUCAACAUCGCGUUCUCCCUGGAGCGUGACCGCCGCCGCCAUCCCGUCGGCGUCGUCCUUCACGGAGCGCAACCGUCGCCUCUGUCGACACCCUCGCGAGCCUCCAUCAACACCCUCGCCAGCCUCCGUCGUGUGACCGCCGCCGCCAUCACGGCAUCCCGUCGGCGUCGUCCUGCGCGGAGCGCAACCGCUGCCUCCGUCGACACCCUCGAGAUCCCGUCGUCCCGCGUGGAGACCGCUGCCGCCAUCGACACCCCGUCCUCCUGCAUCUAGGGCGACCACCGCCAUCGACUCCACGCCAUCCUGCAUCGUGGGCGGCCGCCGCCACCAGCGGAUCGGCCCAGUCCUGCAUCGCCGACACCAGACAUGGAUGGUCAAGGCCCUGGCGACGAGGAGAGUGAAGAGUAACAUGGUACCGCGAACUCCGAAACAAGGCGAAUACAUUUCUAUUCAAAGCUUCAUUGAGCAUCCAGGAAUCACAUAGAGUGAUGGAAUUUUUUAACACUAUUUCGUUGGAUGACGAAGAGAGUGUUGAGGAUGGCGAGAAUGAUGUCAAUACUGCUUCCAGAACAUUUGGUCCAUUGCCUGCAUAUUUUUCAGGGGCAAACCAAGCUUUUACUGGGAAAGUUCUCGAUCCAAUUCCGAUAAAGCCAAAAGGUGCUCCAUCUAAGAAGAGGCCUAAGGCGUUCCAUGAGAGAUUCAGACCCCCGGACUAAGGUGGUAUGUGAUUUAAAGCAAAAGGUGCUGCUGUGUCGUCUUCCGAAGGUGGUUCUCUUCCCAACGUGUGAUGAUUCUGGUACAUGGAUGUGGCGAUGUUCUGAUAAGGUUUUAGGCUUAGCUCUGAAACACGAAACACAUUUUCUUAUUUGCUUAUUCUGAAAUGUCAGUUACAUAUGUGUUCAGUGUCAAUUUUAUGACAUACGCCAGUAUAGAUGAACUCUGCUCUGACUUUCCAUUUUCUCAUUUCCUUGUGCAUCUGAUUUAGUAUUAUAGCUUUGCUUUGUGGGCUAGUGGGUACAAAGUAUCAGGGCUGAGAGCCUGAGAGUGUGUAGACAAAGGAGCAGCUUUAACCAGUGAUAAUGGCGUUCUAAGUUUGCUUGUUGUUGUGGAGUAUUCCUGUCAAGUUCUGUGAACAUGGGAAUCGGAAAAGAAUUUGCUCACUAUCUUUGAUUUCUAUUACAGUUGUCUGUGAAUUUUGUAUUUCUGAAUUAUAGCCCUGGUGUUUUACAAAUAUAGGCCAGCUAACAGGUGGAUUUCUGAAUAAGACAAUGACUUAAUUUUGCACCAUCAGCUAACAGGUGGAUUUCUGAAUGAUAUGGUACUGUUAUGGAUUGUAUUUUCGUAUUACCGAUCUACAUUGAUUUUCUCAGAAAGAUAUAGUGUAACAGACAUAGCCUGGAAUUGAUAGUACAAAGGACAAAACAGGCCCGACAGGGUGCGGAUACUGGAGCAAACAAGCGUUCUGAUGUAGGUGUUUCGUCAGUCCAGAGGCAGACAGCAACAAGGCUGAAGUGAUGUGGUUUUGAUUAAAAUUCAACCUUGCAAUUUGUGCUUAAUGUAUUUUUACUUCUCCCCUGCUUUACCUGUCUCUUAUUCUAAUCCAUGUAACGGAGAUGGAUUAGAUUAGACAAGCUGCUCCUGAGAAAAUAAAUAUCUGUGAAAAUGUGGGAGUUAUUAUUUUUCCUUUCCGCUAGAAUAAAUAUGUGGAUUUUGCCCGCCCGAGACAUGCUGCUCUGUAAUUAUUUUCUAGACCAGCUUCCUGGAAUUCAGUUAUGGGCUCAAAAAUUACAGUA